rnacentral:lncRNA from 11 species
UUUAGCCUUGCCAGAGCCAUUUUAAAGUUUUUUGCCAAAGAAGAAAGCGGGCCAUGUGUCUUUUUGCAAAGCUGGUUUACAUAUACCAAGGUUGAUUACUCGUGGUUUCACUUACUUAUUCUCCAUAAGACAUCCCCCAUCCUCUAUAGAUUCUUCAGUGUAAUUCUACAGAAUGCUUCCAGUUCAUGUAAACUCAAAAUUUAAGUUUUGCUUUACUAUGCAUCCUGGGGGACGUAGUUUACAAACAGCAUCACCUCAAGCAGAAUUCACCAUGGGAAUGUCAAGAUUGGUCGCAAGGUGAGUUUUCAUGGCAACCAACAACAAACACAUAGAGAGAUGAGAAAAAAUACUUUU